CUAAAACGUGCAUUAUAUUGUGAGAAUUGAAGAGCAGAUCUAAACUGCCGGGAAGCCAUUUUUCCGGUAUGCGGAGCGCUCCUAUUAUUCCACCAAUCACAGCCACCACGUCCUGAAAAAAAGAGACAAUUAAUUUACUUGUAAGAUGACGUGCAUCAUAGCGCUAGGACUUCCACCACCGAUACCGUAGCAUCUUAAACCCAAAACCAGAAGUCUCAUGCACAGUGGAGGAAGAAAGCAGAGACGUCUUUGCCAAGGAGACUUUGCGACCAUCGCCUACAAUAAUUGAACACUGAAUAUUAACAUUUUUCACGUACAAUUGUUAAUGAUUCUUUAGUGUUUUUCAGUAGUGGAAAAACUUACUUUCCAGAGACCCAAUAAACUAAGGAAGCAAUAGAUUGAGAUGCAACAAUACUGAAGGAAACCUGAUGAGCAAUGCACAGAAGUUACUAUCAUCGGCAGGGCUCCUGAAGAAAUCGUCGAGUUUCGACAAUGAAAAAACAAAAUCAAAUGAUGGAAAAAGGAAUUUAAGAAAAUGAACGAAUCAAUAAAGUGAGAAGUCUGGGAGAAAAUUUUUACCAAAACUUUGACAGAGCCAAAUGCCGAGCAUAUCAAUUU